CCGAUUAGCUAGUUGGUGAGGUAAAAGCCCACCAAGGCAUAGAUCGGUAGCCGGCCUGAGAGGGCACACGGCCACACUGGCACUGAAACACGGGCCAGACUCCUACGGGAGGCAGCAGUGGGGAAUCUUGCACAAUGGGGGAAACCCUGAUGCAGCGACGCCGCGUGAGCGAUGAAGCCCUUCGGGGUGUAAAGCUCUUUCGUCAGGGACGAUAAUGACGGUACCUGGAGAAGCAGCUGCGGCUAACUACGUGCCAGCAGCCGCGGUAAUACGUAGGCAGCAGGCGUUGUUCGGAGUUACUGGGCGUAAAGGGUGUGUAGGCGGUUCUUUAAGUUUGGUGUGAAAUCUCCCGGCUCAACUGGGAGGGUGCGCCGAAUACUGAGGGACUAGAGUACGGGAGAGGAAAGUGGAAUUCCUGGUGUAGCGGUGAAAUGCGUAGAUAUCAGGAGGAACACCGGUGGUGUAGACGGCUUUCUGGACCGUAACUGACGCUGAGACACGAAAGCGUGGGUAGCAAACAGGAUUAGAUACCCUGGUAGUCCACGCCCUAAACGAUGCAUAUUUGGUGUGGGCAGUUCAUUCUGUCCGUGCCGGAGCUAACGCGUUAAAUAUGCCGCCUGGGGAGUACAGUCGCAAGGCUGAAACUCAAAGGAAUUGACGG
rnacentral:rRNA from 1 species